rnacentral:rRNA from 1 species
AGUAGCAAGGUUAACCGUAUAGGGAGCCGUAGGGAAACCGAGCUUAAUAGGGCGUUAGUUGCUGGGUAUAGACCCGAAACCGGGUGAUCUAUCCAUGAGCAGGUUGAAGGUUAGGUAACACUGACUGGAGGACCGAACCCACUGUCAUUGAAAAGCCAGGGGAUGACUUGUGGAUAGGGGUGAAAGGCUAAUCAAACUCGGUGAUAGCUGGUUCUCCCCGAAAGCUAUUUAGGUAGCGCCUCGGACGAAUACCAUUGGGGGUAGAGCACUGUUUCGGCUAGGGGGUCAUCCCGACUUACCAAACCGAUGCAAACUCCGAAUACCAAUGAGUACUAUCCGGGAGACAGACUGCGGGUGCUAACGUCCGUAGUCAAGAGGAAAACAAUCCAGACCGCCAGCUAAGGCCCCUAAAUUAUAGUUAAGUGGGAAACGAUGUGGGAAGGCAUAGACAGCUAGGAGGUUGGCUUAGAAGCAGCCACCCUUUAAAGAAAGCGUAAUAGCUCACUAGUCGAGUCGGCCUGCGCGGAAGAUGUAACGGGGCUAAAACUAUAUGCCGAAGCUGCGGAUUUGCAAUUUAUUGCAAGUGGUAGGGGAGCGUUCUGUAAGCCGAUGAAGGUGGAUUGAGAAGUCUGCUGGAGGUAUCAGAAGUGCGAAUGCUGACGUGAGUAACGACAAAGCGGGUGAAAAACCCGCUCGCUGAAAGACCAAGGGUUCCAGUCCAACGUUAAUCGGGGCUGGGUGAGUCGACCCCUAAGGCGAGGCCGAGAGGCGUAGUCGAUGGGAAAUUGGUUAAUAUUCCAAUACUUCUGUUUAAUGCGAUGAGAGGACGGAGAAGGUUAAGUCAGCCUGGCGUUGGUUGUCCAGGUGGAAGGUUGUAGGCAUGUAUCUUAGGCAAAUCCGGGGUACUCUAUGCUGAGAACUGAUAGCAAGCUGUACUUGURCAGUGAAGUGGCUGAUACCAUACUUCCAGGAAAAGUCUCUAAGCUUCAGUUAAACGAGGAAUCGUACCCGAAACCGACACAGGUGGUCAGGUCGAGUAGACCAAAGCGCUUGAGAGAACUCUGCUGAAGGAACUAGGCAAAAUGGUACCGUAACUUCGGGAGAAGGUACGCUGCCGGCGGUGAUAGGACUUGCUCCUUGAGCUGUUGGCAGCCUCAGAAACCAGGCCCCUGCAACUGUUUAUUAAAAACAUAGCACUCUGCAAACACGAAAGUGGACGUAUAGGGUGUGAUGCCUGCCCGGUGCUGGAAGGUUAAUUGAUGUGGUUAGCGCAAGCGAAGCUAUUGAUCGAAGCCCCAGUAAACGGCGGCCGUAACUAUAACGGUCCUAAGGUAGCGAAAUUCCUUGUCGGGUAAGUUCCGACCUGACACGAAUGGCAUAAUGAUGGGGGGCGCUGUCUCCAGCAGAGGCUCAGUGAAAUCGAAAUCGCCGUGAAGAUGCGGUGUACCCGCGGCUAGGACGGAAAGACCCCGUGAACCCUUUACUGCAGCUUGACAUUGAACUUUGAUCUUACUUGUGUAGGAUAGGUGGGAGCUUUGAAGUGGCGACGCUAGUUGCCAGU